UACAGGGGGGGCAAGCGUUGUUCGGAAUUACUGGGCGUAAAGGGCCAGUAGGCGGCCAACUAAGUCCGACGUGAAAUCCCAAGGCUUAACCUUGGAACUGCGUCGGAUACUGGAUGGCUUGAAUUCGGGAGAGGGAUGCAGAAUUCCAGGUGUAGCGGUGAAAUGCGUAGAUAUCUGGAGGAACACCGGUGGCGAAGGCGGCAUCCUGGACCGGCAUUGACGCUGAGGAGCGAAAGCCAGGGGAGCAAACGGG
rnacentral:rRNA from 1 species